rnacentral:lncRNA from 1 species
GCCCAUUGUUGUUUAUAAACUACAGAGGUUCGCUGGCCUAUACACAACUCUAUCAGGUUUUGAACCUCGCCUAAUCUCAUAGAAUAUUUUUGAAUUUUGUCUUGGCCAGAAUUACUAUAUAUGAUUUAUCUUUGUCUCUUUCUUACCCAUUCCUUCCGCAUGAGAAUUGAGGAGAUCAAACACCGACAUAAAUCGGAACGGUGACACACUUAUCGGACAGUGACAUGGUACUUCUCCACAAACAGGGUACAAAACUGUAAGAAAGCUCUUAGAAAGUGUUAAACUUAUUGGUCUGUGAUGUCGUAAUACCUGAUAGAGGUUGCUCAUGCUGUAGUGAUGAACAUAUCUUUAAAAUUAUUCGCCUUGAUGACUUCCUUUAGCUCAGUAGAAAAAAUGUAAAGAGGCAUGGGUUGUACUGCCCAGUCUAUUUUGUUUCAGUACUGAAGUUACAACUAUUUUUUGUUUUCAGCGUGAAAACUCCAAUUUUUCCACAUUGUUAGCCAGAUCCUCGAACGAUUUUGAAGAACCUUUAGUCUCUAUUUUGUACACAUGUAGAUUUUCGUUGGGUACAGUUGCAUCACAAAAUCUUACAUAUGUUGUGGACUAACCUGCAGAUAAUGCUACUUUAGAAACCAUGUGGACGCCAUCCAAGGACAAAGAAAGAAGCGGUAUGGGCUAGGGAUUACAUGUUGGCUACCACUUACUGGAAACAUGAGACGCGGAUUGACAUGGAAACAAGGUAUUACAAAUUCCAUACUCCCAUAAUCUAGAAAAGGAUGAGUCAGACUUCCCUUCACGAGCUUUCUUUUCUUUAUGGUUCAUGUACAAACAGAAGAAACGAGAAGUGGUUUCUCUCAAUGCCACACGCUUAGUUGGUGGAGAAAGCUGAUUGAUAUUCCAAGUACGCAUGGAAAGUAACUUGAUGAAGUAAACAACAUGGCAACAGGGUGAUUGGAUUUUUCAUCCUUUUUCACAGUUCAUUUAUAUGCUUAUUUCAGAUCAGUUACCAAUGACAUUCAAUAUAGAAAAGAAGGGGAAAACUUGUGCUUUCUAAGUACAUAUGAUUUCCAUGCUUUGGUGUUACUUCUUUU